AAACGAUGUCGAUUUGGAGUUGUGCCAUUGAGGACGUGCCUUCCGAGCUAACGCGUUAAUCGACGCUGGGGAGUACGGCCGCAAGGUUAAAACUCAAAUGAAUUGACGGGGGCCCGCACAAGCGUUGAAGCAUGUGGUUUAAUUCGAUGCAACGCGAAGAACUUUACUUACUCUUGACAUCCAGAGAACUUUCCAGAGAUGGAUUGGUGCCUUCGGGAACUCUGAGACAGGUGCUGCAUGGCGGUCGUCAGCUCGUGUUGUGAAAUGUUGGGUAAAGUCCCGCAACGAGCGCAACCCUUAUCCUUUGUUGCAAGCGGUUCGGCCGGGAACUCAAAGGAGACUGCCAGUGAUAAACUGGAGGAAGGUGGGGAUGACGUCAAGUCAUCAUGGCCCUUACGAGUAGGGCUACACACGUGCUACAAUGGCGUAUACAAAGAGAAGCGACCUCGCGAGAGCAAGCGGACCUCAUAAAGUACGUCGUAGUCCGGAUUGGAGUCUGCAACUCGACUCCAUGAAGUCGGAAUCGCUAGUAAUCGUAGAUCAGAAUGCUACGGUGAAUACGUUCCCGGGCCUUGUACACACCGCCCGUCACACCAUGGGAGUGGGUUGCAAAAGAAGUAGGUAGCUUAACCUUCGGGAGGGCGCUUACCACUUUGUGAUUCAUGACUGGGGUGAAGUCGUAACAAGGUAACCA
rnacentral:rRNA from 1 species